rnacentral:rRNA from 1 species
CACACCGCCCGUCACACCAUGGGAGUUGGCUUUACCUGAAGACGGUGCGCUAACCCUUCGGGGAAGCAGCCGUCCAUGGUAUGCCCAGCGAUUGGGGUG